UACACACCGCCCGUCACACCAUGGGAGCGGGUUCUGCCAGAAGUAGUUAGCCUAAUCGCAAGGAGGGCGAUUACCACGGCAGGGUUCGUGACUGGGGUG
rnacentral:rRNA from 1 species